rnacentral:rRNA from 1 species
UACAGAGGUGGCAAGCGUUGUUCGGAAUUACUGGGCGUAAAGGGCGUGUAGGCGGUCUUCUAAGACAGAUGUGAAAUCCCCGGGCUUAACCUGGGAACUGCAUUUGUGACUGGCAGGCUAGAGUAUGGCAGAGGGGGGUAGAAUUCCACGUGUAGCAGUGAAAUGCGUAGAGAUGUGGAGGAAUACCGAUGGCGAAGGCAGCCCCCUGGGCCAAUACUGACGCUCAUGCACGAAAGCGUGGGGAGCAAACAGG